UACCAGCUCUCCGAGUGGUGUGGAUGUUUAUUGGGCCUAAAGCAUCCGUAGCUGGCUGGGCAAGUCCCCUGUUAAAUCCACUGAUUUAAUCAUUGGAGUGCGGGGGAUACUGCUCGGCUAGGGGACGGGAGAGGCAGACGGUAUUUUCGGGGUAGGGGUGAAAUCCUAUAAUCCCGGGAAGACCACCAGUGGCGAAGGCUGUCUGCUAGGAACGCGCCCGACGGUGAGGGAUGAAAGCUGGGGGAGCGAACCGGAUUAGAUACCCGGGUAGUCCCAGCUGUAAACGAUGCAGGCUAGGUGUUUGGGCGGCCACGUGCCGCUCUAGUGCCGCAGGGAAGCCGUUAAGCCUGCCGCCUGGGGAUACGGCCGCAAGGCUGAAACUUAAAGGAUUGGCGGGGAGCACCACGAAGGGGUGAAGCUUGCGGUUU
rnacentral:rRNA from 1 species